UACGGAGGGGGCUAGCGUUACUCGGAAUGACUGGGCGUAAAGGGCGCGUAGGCGGCCUGAUAAGUAGGGGGUGAAAUCUUGCGGCUCAACCGCAAGGCUGCCUUCUAAACUGUCAGGCUGGAGCACGGUAGAGGCAGAUGGAAUUCCCGGUGUAGCGGUGGAAUGCGUAGAGAUCGGGAAGAACACCAGUGGCGAAGGCGGUCUGCUGGGCCGUUGCUGACGCUGAGGCGCGACAGCGUGGGGAGCAAACAGG
rnacentral:rRNA from 1 species